rfam:Oryza nivara chromosome 2, whole genome shotgun sequence.
AAAAAGAAAAAUCCUGAUUUCCGUGAUCAAUGUUUAACCAUCCGUCUUAUUCGAAAAUAAUAUAAAAAAAAUUAAAAAGACAAGUUACGCAUAAAGUAUUAAUCAUGUUUUAUCAUCUAACAACAAUAAAAAUACGAAUUAUAAAAAAAUUUCAUAUAAGACGGAUAGUAAAGUAAAAGUUGGACACGCAAACCUAGGGUUUAGCUUUUU